UUAAUUUUCUUAAUCAUUCAAAAUGAUUUAUUUUAAGAUCUAAAUUAAUUUUUUAAGAUUUAUUAAAAAAAUGUUGAAUAUUUCUCAUUUUUAUUUUGAGGAGUAUAAUUUGAUAAUCGUCAAAGUUUAUGAGGUAGAGUUGCUAGUUUAUAAAGACACUUAACAUUUAAAUAAAAUAAUAGGACGGAACCUAACAGAAAACUAAAUUUCUAUAAAUAUAAAAAUUUAUUUUUUUUUUAACAAUUAGUAUAUUUAAAAAAAGUAAAGUAAAAAAAAAGUGCCUGAGUGGGGUUUUCCUCUGUAGUAGUUUAUUUCAGUUUUUUGGGUUCUUCUUCUCCAUUUCUCACAUGUCCAUCGUUAACUACCCACCUUCCCACCCUCAUUCUUCUAAGUUUUUCAGUUUAUACCAACUCCAUGAUCUACAUGUUGUGUCAUAAACCCAUAUAUAAAUACCACCACAACCUUUAUGAUCUAUUCUUGCGCUUUCUAUUUUCAUUUUCUUGGCCUUGUAUGGAAUCUAUUAUUAAAGAUAUGAAUUCAACUCUUAACCUAUCUGAGAAAGAGAGAAUAGUGCAUACCCUUUCUGAAUCUGAUCUCAAUGAUCCUAAUCACUCAUCUAAAUUCUUUUUGGUGCCUAGAUGCCUUUCUAACUCUGUCAACCCGAAGACCUUCAUAAAAAAGAUGGGAGAAUUUUGGAGCAAUAAGUGUCGUUUUGAAGUCAUUGUUUCGAAAAUGCAUUCUGACCUUUUUCUUUUAACUUUGGCAUGUACAGGCGAUCAACAAAGAGUGCUCUCUGGUGAACCAUGACAUUUCUUUAAUCAACUUAUACUGCUGCACUCUCAUUCAUCUCUGCAGAAUGUUACCAAGGAGGACCUUUGUCAUGCUCAGUUCUGGGUUCAAACCCAUCGUCUUCCUUUCUUAAGCAAAUCUAGAGCAUUGGCUAAGAAAGUUGGAAAAUGGGUGGGAGAAUUCAUAGAUGUCCAUGAAGACUCACUCCAUGAGGGUUGAGGUUCUUUCAUGCGUACCGGAGUCCGAAUUGAUGUCACUCAACCUCUAAUGAGAGGGAAAAUGGUUACUCUGCCUCAGGUAGAAGAUGAACAUUGGCUCGAGUUUUGCUACAAAAACCUCCCAGUGUUCUAUGUUCACUGUGGUAUAUUUGGUCACCCGUUUGACAAAUGCUUGGCUUUUAUGGAAUUGGUGGAUAAUGGAGUGGAUCUUGAACUCCCAUAUGGCCCACAAAUGAUUGGUGACAAACUCCCAACUUCAGGAUAUGAUCAAUACUGAAACGAUUUCUCAAAGGCCAAUGCUUAUCCUCUUUUAACCCGCUUAACUAGGAAAACUAUCGCCUCAUCUAUUCCCUCCCUUUACACGCAUCGAAAUUUGGCUAUUGGAACCUCACCACAACCAAAAUCCUUAACCAUUGUUGAAUCCUCUAAACCAGAAAUUACGGUUACUAACCAAAAAGAAAAAUGUCCUGAAUUACCUUUGCCAUUUCCCUCUUACAUUCCCACCACAUUCCCUCCUGAGGUGACUCCUGUGAUACCAACAUCUCAUACCCAAGAAACUAUCCAUCCUCCCAUUAAUCCUACCCUUCAUGAUCCACUCACCAAUAACAUUGAUGCCUAUACUGCUGUUGCACAAAAGAAAGGAAAAACAGUUGCUUUUUCUGAGGCAAGUGAAGAUAUUAAUGAUACUUGCAAAUCUUUUAAGAGGCAAGUGGACCCUGAUAAUUUUUGAAGUGUUCUCAAGAGAUGUUGCAGCAACAAAAAAGAGAGUUCAAGUGUUGAUGAUCCUUCUUUUCAGCAUGUUUCUAGUGUGUCCACAUAUUCAACUGAUGUGAAUUCAUCUUGUUCAGCGGAGGUUGCACUUAAGCAACCCCACCCUCAUCCAUGAAAAUAAUAAGUUGGAAUAACAGGGCCUUGGGAAACCUUUGGCAUUCAGGCAUCUAAAGCUGCUAAUCAAAGAGUAGGGUCCUGAUUUGCUUUUUCUUAUGGAGAUAAAGUUGAAAUGUAAUUCUAUAGAUCGUAUUCAUUCUUCUCUUAAAUUUAGUAAUAGAAUUGAAGUCCCUAGGAUGGGUUUAAAGGGUGGAUUGUUGCUGUUAUGGAUGGUGAAUGUAGAUGUAACUCUUAAUUCUUACUCAAUGAACCACUUUGAUAUUUUUGUUUCGUCGGAUAAUUGCCACCAAUUUCAUUUCACAGCCUUUUAUGACGCUUCUGAAACUCAUUUAAGAAUCAAUACUUGGAACUUAUUGAGUAGUCUUGUCUCAAAUGAUCCUAGCAUACCAUGGCUGGUUCUUGGUGAUUUUAAUGAGUUGCUUUCAAAUGAGGACAAAGAGGGGGGGCCUCCACAAAGUGAUAUUCUUAUGGGGAAUUUUCGGAAAACCAUAGAUACUUGUAAACUUCGGGCCAUUCCAUUCAAUGGUGACAAAUUUACUUGGACUAAUAUGAAUCAUAAUGGGAAUUUUGUUCGGGAAAGGCUUGAUAGAGGCUUCUUCAAUGAUAUAUGGUUUGAGUUUUUCAUCGAAGCUCGUGUUACUCACCUUGAUUUUUAUCACUCAGAUCAUAGAGCGAUUGAAUAUGUCGUCUCUACUCCUAAUCUGCCUGCUACUAAUCACAAGAGACAAACCAGAUUUUGUUUUGAGCGAUUCUGGCUCAAAGACUCGGAAUGUCGAGACAUUGUCCAAUCGAAUUGGUAUGUCCCUUCUCAUUGCCAACCAUCGGUAUCCCUGCUGCAAAAUAUUGCAGCAUGCUCUACUGCUUUACAAAACUGGCACACUUCUAAGUAUGGUAGCAUGAGCCGAGACAUUGCUGAAGCACAUAAAAUUUCUGCAACUUUGCAUAACAGUAGGGACAUCUCAUCUGAACAUAUCCAAAGGGUGGAGAAUGUUGACAAAAUUUUGGAUGAAUAACUAGAAAAAGAAGAGCAUUAUUGGCAUCAACGUGCUCGUGUGGAUUGGCUCCAAAGUGGAGACUCCAACACCAAAAUUUUCCACUCUCGAGCUAAAUCUAGAAAUGCUACAAACAAGAUCAAAAAAAUACAAACCAGCAGUGGUGGUAUGGUGCAAACAGAGGAGGAAAUUGUUGUUGAAAUUGACAAUUAUUUCUCUAAUUUGUUCUCUUCUAAUGGCGUUGAUGAUGAUGUUUUGCAUUCUGUUCUUGCCACGAUUAAUACUGCCAUCACACCAAAGAUGAAUCACUUUUUGCUUCAGCCUUAUACUGCUAUUGAAGUUAAAUCUGCUCUCAAUUCUAUGGCUCCAGACAAGUCUCCAGGAGUUGAUGGUAUGUCUGCCAUAUUUUCCCAGCAUCAUUGGGAUAUAGUUGGGCCAUUGGUUACUCAAAGUACUCUUAGAAUUUUGAAUGAGGGGGAUAAUAUGGAAGCUAUUAACUCAGCCCUGAUUACAUUGAUUCCAAAGAUCGAUCCCUAAAUUUGUGAGUGACUAUAGACCUAUCAGUUUGUAUACCGUGCUCUAUAAGUUGGUUUCCAAAGCCAUUGCUGCCAGAUUCAAGGAGGCUCUUCCUCAUGUUAUUUUUGAAAAUCAAAGUGCUUUUCUCCCUAAUCGACUCAUCACUGAUAAUGUACUUCUUGCAUUUGAAUUGGUUCACUGUCUCAAAAACAAGAAAUGAGGUCAAAUGGGUUACGCGGCACUAAAAGUAGAUAUGAGUAAAGCUUUUGAUAGAGUGGAAUGGUACUUUCUCCAAGCGGUUAUGAUCAAGAUGGGCUUUGAAAUUAGUUGGGUCAAUCUGGUUUUAAAAUGUGUUUCAUCAGCGAAGCUUUCUUUCAAUCUGAAUGGUGCGGUCAAAGGUUCUGUUGUUCCUAAAAGAGGUCUUCGUCAGGGAGACCCGUUAUCACCAUACUUAUUUCUUAUCCGUUCUGAAGGACUUUUAGCUUUGUUAAAGAAUGAGGAAACUUUGGGGCAUCUAAAUGGAUUAUUAAUAGCUAGAGGAGCCCCUGCUGUAUCUCAUCUUCUUUUUGUUGAUGAUAGUUUGCUAUUUUGUCAAGCAACCAAAGACUCAUGCCAAGCAGUCAACAUGGCCUUAGAUCUUUAUCAUAGAGCGUCAAGACAACUUCUCAACACUGAUAAAACCGUCAUGUCUUUCUCACCAAAUGUUACUUCAGUCAUCCAAGAUCGAUCCAAUAGUGUACUGGGUAUGCCUAUUUGUGCUCUGCAUGAAAAAUAUCUUAGUCUUCCCUCGUAUGCUGGAAAAGACAAGAAGGAACUUUUUAGUAGAAUCAAAGAUCGUAUUUGGAAGCUUAUGAAUCAAUGGCAUGCGAAACUUUUUUCAAUUGGUGGUAGGGAAGUACUUUUAAAAGUAGUGGUUCAAUCAAUUCCAACAUAUGCCACGAGCUGUUUCAGCCUUCCAAAGAAAUAUUUAACCAACUGGAAUCUAUGAUGGCUAAUUUUUGGUGGGGAUCUAAUACGAACAACUCUAAGAUCCAUUGGAAGAAAUGGAAAUUCAUGUGUUCUUCGAAAGCUGAUGGUGGUAUGGGAUUUCGUUCUUUCAUCUACUUUAAUCAGGCUCUUUUGGCGAAGCAAGCAUGGGGGAUAUUGGAGAAUCCUUCUUCUUUACUGGCAAGAGCUCUCAAAGCCUGCUACUUCAAGAAUGGUGACUUCCUUUCGGCUCAAAAAGACAUUUUACCUGCCCUCACUUGGCAAAGUAUCUGUGAUGGUAAAGAUCUAUUGAUGAAAGGCCUGCGAUGGAAAAUUGGCACAGAGAAUAAGAUUAGAUGUGCUUCGGACCCAUAGUUACCUGGCAAUACUACAUUUACCCCUUACUCAUACUGUGGUGAUCCUCUUUUCACGGUAGCCCACUAUAUCUCAACUGAUAGGCAAUGGGAUGCAAGGAUCUUAGAACAUCAUUUUGGAGCUAUUUAUAUUAAACGUAUCUUUUCAAUUCCUCUAAGUCCUUUUCCAAGAGAGGAUAUGCUUAUCUGGCAUCAUUUUGACAUGGGAUUAUACACUGUCAAAUCUGGCUACCACUUAGCUAAGAGUUUGGAAUCUAUGAAUGUACAUUCUUCAUCAUCUUCCAACCGUCAAUGGUGGAACAGGUUUUGGUCCCUAAGGCUGCCCAAAAAAGUUAAAAUCUUUGCUUGUCGCUUCAUAAAUGAUGCUCUCCCUACCUCUGUGAAUCUUUAUCACCGAAAGAUCACCUCUUCUACGGCUUGUGCACUUUGUAAGUGCGCGUGGGAAUCAGUUGGACAUGCAAUAUUUCGAUGUGAUCGUGCUAAGGUUGUGUGGAGAAAGUUCAAUUUCCAUGUAUCUAUACCGAAUAUUGGUAACAUUAAAGGUUAUGAUAUCUUCUCCCACAUUGCUGCUGCUCACAAUGAUGCUGAUUUAGAGAAGAUCAUAUGUCUAAUGUGGUGUAUUUGGUCAGAACGAAACAAAGAAAUACAUGGUACGAAGCCCAAACCAGCAGAUAUUAUCUGUUCUUUCUUUACUUCUCAUUUGAAUCAAUAUCACAAGGCCACAACUCAUAAACCAACAGUAACUGAUUCUGAUUGUCACAAUGUUCAAGCACAUCUAUCUGUGGCUGCAAGGUCUUUGCCUAAAUGGCAGCCACCAGCUGCUGAUUUUUUCAAGCUAAAUAUGGAUGCAGCAAGGGAUCAAGCAGGGGCUAUCAUAGGUGUUGGAGCUCUAAUCCGUGACCACGAUGACACUAUUGUUGCUAGUUUUUCAAAGCUUAUCCGUGGAUGCUUUUCUCCCAAAGAAAUGGAGGCUGCUGCUAUGUUCUAUAGUGUGAAAUGGGCAAUUGAGCACCAGCUGCAAAUUUAAGACAGAUUCCCCUUUAGAUGCCUAUGCUGUUAAUCAUAUGUCUUCUACUAGAUUUAUAAUAUAUUUUCAUGAUUUAGUAGAUGAUAUUGCUUAUCUUUUAUUCUCUUUUUCUGGAGCAAAAGUAUCUCAUGUUAAAAGAGAUGCUAAUAAAGCAACUCAUGCUUUAGUUAAAUUUGCUCUUCGAUUGAAUGAAAUUAUUACUUAGUUGGGAAAAUUCCUUCUACAAUCUACUCUGCUGUUAUUAAUGACUCUUAUUUUUAAUAUUAACAGAUUUUUCUAAAAAAAAAAAAAAGUAAAGUCAAAAAUAAAAGAAUAAAAUUGCUAAUUAUUCUAAUUUUUAAUACAAUCUAUUAAUCUAUCCUGUAUUAUUAGUAAAAAAAAGUAUAUAAGGAUAAAUUGUAUUAUUUUGGGGGGUUGGCGUAUUAGCCGAUAUUCUCCUUCACCCGAAUCUCUUCUAUUUUUCCGUUCGGUACUGAAUUUCUCGGUGAAGAGCAUCUUCAUCUUCUCCGGCAGAUCUAUCCCUAAUUCACUGUGCCCUCUGUCGAGAUCGAUCUCUCAGAUUCGUCUGAUCUGAUUUUGUUUUCUCAGUGGAACUCCUCAUCUCCAUAGCUCUCUCUCACGCUCAAAGGUAGCUCAGAAUCAGAGCUGCUUGCUUUUGUGGCACAAAGACAUUAUGUCAGGAGAAGAUGAUACAAAAAUGCAGCAACAAGAAGAGUCUGAAAAAGUCAUGCCAUCACCAAAA